rnacentral:rRNA from 1 species
UGAAACACGGACCAAGGAGUCUAACAUAUGCGCGAGCUAAUGGGUGGAAAACCCAAAGGCGCAAUAAAAGUAAAAGCUGUUUCGGACAGCCGAGGUACGAUCCUAGGAUCCGAGCGAUACUAGGCGCAGUACCGUCCCGUCCCGACCGCAUAUCGGUAGGGCGGAGAUAGAGUGCAUACGUUGGGACCCGAAAGAUGGUGAACUAUGCCUGAGCAGAGCGAAGCCAGAGGAAACUCUGGUGGAGGUUCGUAGCGGUUCUGACGUGCAAAUCGAUCGUCAGACUUGGGUAUAGGGGCGAAAGACUAAUCGAACCAUCUAGUAGCUGGUUCCCCCUGAAGUUUCCCUCAGGAUAGCUGAUACUCGUUAAAAAACGAAGUUUUAUCCGGUAAAGCGAAUGAUUAGAGGCAUUGGGGACGAAAUGACCUCAACCUAUUCUCAAACUUUAAAUGGGUAAGAAGUCGAGCUUGCUCGAUCGAAGCCCGACUAAAGAAUUCGAGUAUCAGUGGGCCAUUUUUGGUAAGCA